GAUGAACGCUGGCGGCGUGCUUAACACAUGCAAGUCGAACGGAAAGGCUCCUGCUUGCAGGGGUACUCGAGUGGCGAACGGGUGAGUAACACGUGGGUGAUCUGCCCUGCACUUCGGGAUAAGCCUGGGAAACUGGGUCUAAUACCGGAUAGGACCACAUUUUGGAUGGUGUGGUGGAAAGUUUUUCGGUGUGGGAUGAGCUCGCGGCCUAUCAGCUUGUUGGUGGGGUAAUGGCCUACCAAGGCGUCGACGGGUAGCCGGCCUGAGAGGGUGUACGGCCACAUUGGGACUGAGAUACGGCCCAGACUCCUACGGGAGGCAGCAGUGGGGAAUAUUGCACAAUGGGCGCAAGCCUGAUGCAGCGACGCCGCGUGGGGGAUGACGGCCUUCGGGUUGUAAACUCCUUUCGCUAGGGACGAAGCGUUUUUGUGACGGUACCUGGAGAAAAAGCACCGGCUAACUACGUG
rnacentral:rRNA from 1 species